CACUUCUGCACUAGCUUGCAGGCUAAUCUUGCUUAUGCUUUCAAUUUGGCGUUAUGUAUUUUGAGUAAUAUUGUAAUAUAAUGCUCCUCAUUUGUAAGUCUCUGGAUAAAAGCAUCUGCUAAAGGGUUAAAUGUAAAAAGUCAGUGUAUUGGGGUGGUUGGAUGAGGUGCGACAGGUGGGUCUCAAUUUAUUAUUCAUCUUUGUCACUUCCUCGGUGCAGAGUGCUGACGUAGUUCUGGAUCAGAAGGACAGCAGCCUGUAUGUCGGGAGAGUGAGU
ensembl:lncRNA